GAGAGACUCGACUCCACUCCAGCGGCCCCUGUGCGCUGCAUUUCUGACAUCCGGCUGUCGGAGCUGUGUGAGCGCGGUGGAGCUGCAAGUUCACUUCCAGACGAGUCUCUCUCUCUCUCUCUCUCUCUCUCUCUCUCUCUCUCUCUCUCUCCAGUUGUUUUCCUGAACCAUGCCCAGAUGUUGCUUUGCGUCUUGAUUUUGACUCGCGUCUGAGCGCCGCCGGCCGGGUUUGCGCUCUAUCCCUCCCUCCCUCUCUGUCUCUCUCUCUCUCUCUCUCUCUCUCUCCCUCUCAUACUCGGGGUCUUGACUUGUCCCCUCCGUGCGCCGGUCCGGUCCGGUUCCGGUUCGUGCCGCUCCACCCGUGCGCUUUUUGGUGAUGGAGUUUAGUCGGUGUUCAGGAGCCGCUACGUGAGACGCGCGAAGGUUUUUGUGUCGCGGCACCAAAGCGGAGCGCAGUUCAGCGGGUGGAAGAUGACCGGUGAAGGUUUUCGGCGAACGACCACUCACUGACGCUCACUGGGCCUGGAUACAUUUCUUUCCCCCUACAUUCGUUUCCUCUCAUCAUCAUCCGUCUUGAAACCACUGUCACUGGCAUCUGGAAGAACAAAAUGGCUGCUUCACUGUGUAAAUGUCCCCUGCUGUACAGCCUCCUGUUCUCACUGGCCUUUUAUCAGGGCUCUCAAGCCUUCAGUCGAGCAGCUCUGCCAUUCGGCCUGGUACGCAGAGAGCUCUCGUGCGAAGGUUACCCCAUUGACCUCCGAUGCCCAGGGAGUGAUGUCAUCAUGAUCGAGACGGCCAACUACGGCCGCACGGACGACAAGAUCUGCGACGCCGACCCUUUCCAGAUGGAAAACAUCAACUGCUACCUCCCAGAUGCCUACAAAAUCAUAUCUCAGAGAUGUAACAACCGGACACAAUGUGUCGUUAUCACUGGAUCAGAUGUCUUUCCAGAUCCUUGUCCUGGGACAUACAAGUAUCUCGAGGUCCAGUAUGAGUGUGUCCCAUAUAUAUUCAUUUGUCCUGGGACUUUGAAAGCAGUGGGGGAACCAGUUUUUACUUUCGAGGCCGAGCAGCAAGCGGGAGCUUGGUGCAAAGACCCGCUACAAGCUGGAGACAAGAUCUAUUUCAUGCCAUGGACACCAUACCGUACCGAUACGCUAAUCGAAUACAACUCGCUCGAGGAUUUCCGCAACGGCCGCCAAAUGACGACGUACAAGCUGCCUCACCGAGUGGAUGGCACCGGAUUCGUGGCCUAUGAUGGCGCCAUCUUCUUCAACAAGGAGCGUACGAGGAACAUUGUCAAGUUUGACCUGCGUACACGCAUCAAGAGCGGCGAGGCCAUUGUGGCCAACGCUAACUACCAUGACACGUCACCUUAUCGGUGGGGAGGCAAAACUGACAUUGAUCUGGCUGUUGACGAGCGUGGAUUGUGGGUAAUCUAUGCGACAGAGCAGAACAACGGGCGCAUUGUCGUGAGCCAGCUGAAUCCGUACACACUACGCUUCGAGGCCACGUGGGAGACAGCGUACGACAAGCGCUCAGCCUCCGAUGCCUUCAUGGUGUGUGGUGUGUUACAUGUAGUGCGCUCUAGCUAUGAGGAGAAUGAAAGUGAGGCCAGCAAGAGCCAUAUCGACUACGUCUACAACACCAAGCUGGGCCGCGGCGAGUACACAGACAUCCCCUUCCCCAACAACUAUCAGUACAUUGCUGCUGUGGAUUACAACCCUCGAGACAACCAGCUCUACGUGUGGAAUAAUUUCUACAUCCUGCGCUAUGAGCUGGAGUUCGGCCCGCCAGAUCCUGACGAAGUGUCGACUCUCGCAGACGGGGUCACGUCAGCGGCGUUCCCGAGGAGAACCACGACUCUCAUGACCACCAGCAGCAGCUCCACACACAGAUUUCUGGCCAACGCCACACUCACUGUCAACCCCAAGCAGAGCAAAGGACCUCCAGUGGAGAACCCUGUGGCUGUAGAUCCCACCAAUGCUGGUCCUCCGCCCCCCAGCAGACGGUUCUGCGAGAGCACCGAUAUCCGAGGUAUUGUCUGGCCUCGUACACACAGGGGCGUCACCGUGGAGCGGCCGUGUCCCAAAGGAACCAGAGGUAUUGCCUCAUACCUCUGCACAGCUUUGAGUGGCACGUGGAACCCAAAGGGACCAGACCUCAGCAACUGCACCUCCCACUGGGUCACACAGGUGGCGCAAAAGAUCCGGAGUGGAGAAAACGCGGCGAACCUGGCCAACGAGCUGGCACGGCACACGCACGGCCCCGUGUUCGCUGGCGACGUCAGCUCCAGCGUCAGGCUCAUGGAGCAGCUGGUGGACAUCCUGGACGCACAGCUUCAGGAGCUCAAGCCCAGCGAGAAGGACUCGGCCGGACGCAGCUUCAACAAGGCCAUCGUGGACACGGUGGACAACCUGCUGAGACCAGAAGCGCUGAAGUCGUGGGAGGACAUGAACUCCACAGAGCAAACUCACGCCGCCACCAUGCUGCUGGACACGCUGGAGGAAGGAGCCUUCGUCCUCGCUGACAACCUGAUCGAGCCGGCCGUCGUCAAAGUGCCUGCAGAGAACAUAAUGUUGGACGUGUACGUGUUGAGCACAGACGGCCAUGUUCAGGAUUUCAAGUUUCCGCAGACAAGCAAAGGAGGUGCCACCAUCCAGCUCCCCGCCAACACAGUCAAAUUAAACAGCAAGAACGGUGUUGCAAAGCUGGUCUUUGUGCUCUACAAACACCUUGGGCAUUUUCUGACCACGGAGAAUGCCACCCUCAGGCUGGUGAGUGAAGGAGGAGGCGUGAGGAACCACACACUCACCGUCAACUCCCACAUCCUGUCUGCUUCCAUCAACAAGGAGUCCAGUCGCAUCUUCGUCUCCGAGCCUGUUGUCUUCACACUCGAACACCUUGAUACCGAGAACUACUUCAACCCAAACUGCUCGUUCUGGAACUACUCGGAGAGGAGCAUGAUGGGAUACUGGUCCACUCAGGGAUGCAAACUCCUAGAGACAAACAAGACCCACACCACUUGCUCGUGUAGUCACCUCACCAACUUCGCCAUCCUCAUGGCCCACCGAGGACACGUGGGCGAUGGAAGUGUCCACGAUUUUCUUCUGAGCGUUAUCACGCGCAUGGGCAUGGCCGUGUCCCUCGUCUGCCUGGCCAUCAGCAUCUUCACCUUCUGCUUCUUCCGUGGCCUGCAGAGCGACCGCAACACCAUCCACAAGAACCUGUGCAUCAACCUCUUCAUCGCCGAGCUCUUCUUCCUCGUGGGAUUCAACAUGACCGAACCUCCGAUCGUGUGCUCGGUUAUAGCCGGGAUUCUUCAUUUCUUUUUCCUGGCUGCGUUUGCGUGGAUGUGUCUGGAAGGCGUGCAGCUGUACGUCAUGCUCGUCGAGGUCUUCGAGAGCGAGUUCUCGCGCCGGAAGUACUAUUACGCAGCCGGGUACCUCUUCCCAGCCGUAGUGGUUGCCAUUUCGGCGGCUAUCGACUACAGGAGCUACGGGACCAAGAGAGUCUGUUGGCUGAGAGUUGAUAACCACUUCAUCUGGAGCUUCAUCGGCCCCGUCGUCUUCAUUAUAAUGCUCAAUCUGGCCUUCCUGGUCGUGACCAUGUACAAGAUGGUGAAGCACUCCACCUCGGUGAAGCCCGACUCCAGCCGCCUGGAGAGCAUCAGGUCGUGGGUGCUGGGAGCGUUCGCUUUGCUCUGUCUGCUUGGCCUGACCUGGUCGUUCGGGUUGUUCUUCCUGAACGAUUCGUCCAUCAUCAUGGCCUACCUCUUCACCGUCUUCAACACACUGCAAGGGAUGUUCAUCUUCAUCUUCCACUGUCUCCUCCAGAAGAAGGUGCGUAAAGAAUACGGGAAGUGUUUCCGUCAGUCUCAGUGCUGUGGUGCUUUGCCCCAGGACAACUCUCACAGCGUAGGCAAAACCUCCACGUCUCGCUCCACGGCCCGGUACUCCUCGGCCACUCAGAGUCGUAUCAGGCGGAUGUGGAACGACACGGUGAGGAAGCAGUCCGAGUCUUCCUUCAUCUCCGGAGACAUCAACAGCACCUCGACGCUGAACCAAGCUCAAGUCGUUUGAUGUCUGGUUUCGGAUUCUUCUCCACAUCAACAAGAGGGACUUUUCUUAUCUCGACGGCUGCGUGUCACACAACAACACCAAUAAUUUAUUUUUUUUUGCUUCCUUUCUAUUUGCUGCAAUCUCUCCCCCCCCCCCCCCCCCCCUCUAUUUCUAUUCAAAUUAGAGCGACUUGAGUCAUAUCCUGCACGAGAUGGGAAAUGGAGCCGCAGUUAAUCCAGCAUAUGAAUCUCUUAUCCAGGCGUCUUUUCAGGAACAAAUGGAUCAUUUGUGGAAAUAUCACUUCUUUUUAAUCUUUUUUGCAUAAAUAAUGAAUCAAACUUUUAAUCCGAAGACGUCUAAGAACAUGACUACUGCGACUGUGAUGUCGGUUUGACACAACAGAAAUUAAUGAUGAGUGAUAUUUCACGACAAAUGUUCCAUUUGUUUUUGCUCCGCUAGCAGAAAUGGAUCCAGAAGAAGCCACGCUGACAUUGUCACUUUAUCGGCUAGCUAGCUCAUAUUAAUUUGUAUGUACGUGUUCUGAAGGUGCUUCCACUAACAUUUGUGUAGAGACUGUGACUGUGACCGAGACUGUGACUAAAGUCACAGUGAUUUGCGCUAGCUGUUACAAACCGGGAUGUCUGGUCACUGUACCCUAUAGAUCCAGAACGGUAAGAGAUAGAGAAUGACGCUUAGUGAGGAAAAGUUGCGCCCUGCCAUGCCAAACAAAAUAAAAAAAAAAACUGAUUGAAAAAAACUUGAAACUUGACAGAGUUAUAAGUGAUUGAAAAAAAAAAUCUCAUUUUUCAUGGAUCAUUCUGGAUCAGUGAUCCAGAUCAGCACCAAAAGUCAUAGCAAUGUAAUUCAGCCCAGAGGUAUUCUUCAUGUGAAAUUUGGUGAUGGUUGAAAACUGAGGGAGAAAUAGCGUCCUGAAAAACGCUAGGAUAAUAAUAAUAAUAAUAAUAAUAAGUCAAAAGAUCCUGAGUGAGAGUCACAAUUUGCGCCAGCGCUGCUCACUCAAAUUAACUAGGAAAUGGAAGUUUACGUCGCGAAUGCCCAGAGUGAUAGUGAUACACACACUGAAACAUCCCAGUGCUGUUAUAAGAAAUAUGAGCACUCUUAUGCUAAGGUCCCAGUCGAGCCAUGAGAACCGUGGCUGGGGCCUACUGUGGCCAUUCUGAUAGAUUCGGAGGUGAUCCAUUGCAUAAAUUUGGGCGGAGUAAAUAUGUAAAUGAAGCGACGGUAACCGCGAUGGUAGCAACUGGAGAUGCCGGUAAAAACCAAUGGCAGCAGCGAAGUAUAGCGACGCAUGGCCUUAUAGCAAUGAUAGUUUUCAUGGCUGCUGUAUGGCAUAGCCAUGGCAAGAUGAAAUAAGCAACGCCCUUUUCAUUAAGGCAACCUUUUCACUUUCUGUGGAAUGUUUUUCCGUAAACAUUUUGAGUUCAGUGGUUGUGAAGGAAUGCUACAGUAACCUACGUAAACCUCACGUUUGCCUCAAGAUUGCUCACAGAUGCCUUCACGGUUGCGACGGGUGAAUUCGUCCAGCGCUUGACCCACGGCAGUUUCCAACACAACAAACUUUCCAGGCAUGGAAGCCACACCCUCCUGGUUGUCAACGUAGCUCCCCUGCUCUCACGUAUUCUGACGGAAGGGCCCAGAACGUGUGCCAGUUGACCCCCGGAAGGCCCAAAAUCAUCUCCCAGCAUCUACCGUGAAGUAAUUCUGGCUAUGUGAGACCUCAGCAUUAGAACGCUACUGAACCAAUCAAAUUAGCGAACCAGAACUAACUGGUAUAUAAGACAUGAUGUAUUAUAAAUACAAUAUAAUGAAAUGUACAUAUUAACAUUAUUAAUACUGCAAGCCAUGAUAUUAAUUAACAGAAUGAGAUUAACUCGUACCAUUAUUAACGCCUGAUCAGACUGUAUACGACUCACUCGGCUGUUCGUUGAUACACUUCGUUAUUUCCUGAUGUGCUCAGGAUUAGUGAUUUUAUUAAUUCAUUAACGAAGUGUUAAAUAUAUGCUUAUUUACGGACCUUGAAAUAUCCACGCUGACUGUCGGUUGCACGAUAUUUUCCGAGAGCUGCAUCAAAUCCGUGACAGGUUUGAAAUGAUUCAUUUCAGGAAUCGAAUCAUUGAAGUGAUUCCUCAAAUCCCUUUUCCUACUUUCACCAUCCUCCAUCCUGUCAUAUUUCCUGUUUUUAUUUUCCUUCUAUGCAUUCCUUUUACGCAAGCAACCUGAGUUAUAGAAUGUGUUCGAGACUCGUUUUGGCGAGUCGUUCAUUUUGUUAUUUUCCCUGCUUGGUAAUUAUGAUUCGAUGAGCUGUUUAAACACCCACCCGGACUAGGAAAAAAAGCUGGUAAGCCCUCGGUGUACAUCUUAGAGCGGCGACAUUGUGGUGGCUUUGGCAAGCAAUAUGAUGUAUUUGAGGAGAAAAUGGGAAGAGAAGCUGCUUUGGGACCAAGGGGUUGCUGGUUCAAUUCCCUGGUUGUUCCAUGUUGCACGUCGCUCUGGAUAAGAGCGUCCGCUAAAUGCCUGUAAUGUAACGUGAUAUAAAAUGAACAACGGCUUAGUUAUGAAAACCAGGAUUGAUUAAAUAUCCAGAAUUGAUCAUGAAGAUAACGAAAAUUUGAAUUGAAAAGUAUUCCAGGAUAUCUCGAGCGGUGCAAAAGUAACAUGUUGGAGAUCACAAGUCAAAAUCGUAACGAUAUCAUGGACAUUUGUGACCAGGAGCUCAUGAGAGCGCGUGAUUAGCCGAUCUUUCUGGGUGGGAGGGGUGGUGUUAGUUUCUGUCCUGUCAAUCAGAGCGAUGCUAGCCAAUCACGAGCAUCCCUGAGCUCAUGUAUGUGGAAGAGGGCAGAGAGCGCACGUCUCUGAGGCUGUUCCACAGCCCUGUGAUGCAGCAAGAGCAGCAGUUUGAAAGGAUGUAUGUACAUGUUAGCGUUCAUCCUUCCUAGCCGGUGGUUGGCGUACGAUAAGGAGAGCUACAACACCAAUAACAGGUGAAAUCUGAACACUCUGAACUGGAACUCAAACUGGCCAAAGUAAUUUACAGUAUUUGAGAGGCCACAUACAGAAGCCAAAACAAACCUCAAGUAGAUUAUGCAAGCUUUUAAGCUUGAAGGUCGCCUCCAUUAGACGUACACCGAGGGCUUUAGAGAGAGAGAGAGAGAGAGAGAGAGAGAGAUGCUGUGAAUGCUUGCUGCUGUACCCUUACACACUCCAUAUCCUGAAUUCAGUCAUCCGGCGCGCCUGCUCGUUAAUUAGAUGAACUAAGUGAUGAGCAAUGAAGGAAGUCAUAAUUACAGCAAUGAAAGGGGCUGCUCGUCACGGCUCCAUAUGCACCCACAUGUGUUUUAUUGAUCGUACUCAUCUCAGAUCAUUUAUUAUGGUGCACACUGGGAAUUAAUUAUUUACAUUCGAAUCGCUGAUUUGUAUUACAGAUCUGCAUCGUUUAUCCAGAAAAUAUAUUUUCAUCUCGGAGUGAUUGGAGAAUUUUUUUUUUUAAGCCAAAAUUGGCUUAAAAACAAUCAAAAUAAAUGAGAAAUAGUUUAUUUGCUGGAAAAAAAAAAUUGAAUUACAGAAACAAAAACACAAUGAUUUAGUUUUUGGAAUUGUUUUAAAAUGUUAAUAGCGAGGGGGGGAAGGACGGGAUAAUGUAGGAAGCUUCGUCUCAACCCAGGAGAAUAAGAAUACAAAAAAAAAGGUAUUUUCUGUGUUUCAUUUAUAAUGUUUAGGAUUCAUUGAUCUGCAUUUGCAUAUAAUGCAAUACAAUAUAUUAUAUUAUUCUGUCCACAUUCACUGGAUAUAAGCAAUCGCGCGCUCUGAUUGGCUACUCUACUACGAGGAUAUCGCUCUACUACUAGGAUAUCGCUCUACUACUAGGAUAUCACUGUACUAUUAAGAUGCUCUACUACUAGGAUUUCCCUCUUCUACUAGGAUUUCGCUCUACUACUAGGAUAUCACUCUACUACUAAGAUUUCCCUCUACUACUAGGAUAUCGCUCUACUAUUAGGAUAUCACUCUACUAUUAGGAUACUCUACUACUAGGAUAUCACUCUACUACUAGAAUACUCUACUAUUAGGAUAUCACUCUACUACUAGGAUGUCACUCUACUAUUAGGAUAUUCUACUAUUAGGAUAUCACUUUAUUACCAGGAUACUCUAUUACUAGGAUAUCCCUCUCCUAAUAAGAUACCCUACUAUUAGGAUAUCACUCUAUUACCAGGAUACUCUACUACUAAGAUAUCAUUCUACUACUAGGAUACUCUAUGACUAGGAUAUCACUCUAUUACAAGGAUAUCGCUCUACUACUAGGAUAUCACUCUAUUACAAGGAUAUCGCUCUACUACUAGGAUAUCACUGUACUAUUAAGAUACUCUACUACUAGGAUAUCACUCUACUACUAGGAUUUCCCUCUUCUACUAGGAUAUCGCUCUACUAUUAGGAUAUCACUCUACUCCUAGUAUAUCACACUACUACUAGAAUACUCUACUAUUAGGAUAUCACUCUACUACUAGAAUACUCUACUUUUAGGAUAUCACUCUAUUACCAGGAUACUCUACUACUAGGAUGUCACUCUACUAUUAGGCUACUCUACUAUUAGGAUAUCACUUUAUUACCAAGAUACUCUAUGACUAGGAUAUCGCUCUAUUACAAGGAUAUCGCUCUACUACUAGGAUAUCGCUCUACUACUAGGAUAUCACUGUACUAUUAAGAUGCUCUACUACUAGGAUAUCGCUCUACUACUAGGAUUUCCCUCUUCUACUAGGAUUUCGCUCUACUACUAGGAUUUCUCUCUACUACUAGGAUAUCGCUCUACUAUUAGGAUAUCACUCUACUAUUAGGAUACUCUACUACUAGGAUCUCACUCUACUCCUAGGAUAUCACACUACUACUACUACUAGAAUACUCUACUAUUAGGAUAUCACUCUACUACUAGGAUAUCACUCUAUUAUUAAGAUACUCUACGACUAGGAUAUCACUCUACUACUAGGAUAUCACUCUACUACUAGAAUACUCUACUAUUAGGAUAUCUCUCUAUUACCAGGAUACUCUACUACUAGGAUGUCACUCUACUAUUAGGAUACUCUACUAUUAGGAUAUCACUUUAUUACCAGGAUACUCUACUACUAGGAUGUCACUCUACUAUUAGGAUACUCUACUAUUAGGAUAUCUCUCUAUUACCAGGAUACUCUACUACUAGGAUGUCACUCUACUAUUAGGAUACUCUACUAUUAGGAUAUCACUUUAUUACCAGGAUACUCUACUACUAGGAUAUCCCUCUCCUAAUAAGAUACCCUACUAUUAGUAUAUCACUCUAUUACCAGGAUACUCUACUACUAGGAUAUCAUUCUACUACUAGAAUACGCUUCUACUAGGAUAUCACUCUAUUACUAGGAUACUCUAUGACUAGGAUAUCGCUCUAUUACAAGGAUAUCCCUCUACUACUAGGAUAUCACUCUACUACGAGGAUACUCUACUAUUAGGAUAUCACUUUACUAUUAGGAUAUCACUCUACUACUAUAUCACUCUACUAAUAGGAUACUCUACUAUUAGGAUAUCACUCUAUUACCAGGAUACUCUACUACUAGGAUAUCAUUAUACUACUAGAAUACUCUUCUAUUAGGAUAUCACUCUAUUACCAGGAUACUCUACUACUAGGAUAUCAUUCUACUACUAGAAUACUCUUCUACUAGGAUAUCACUCUAUUACUAGGAUACUCUAUGACUAGGAUAUCACUCUAUUACAAGGAUAUCCCUGUACUACUAGGAUAUCACUCUACUACGAGGAUACUCUACUAUUAGGAUAUCACUUUACUAUUAGGAUAUCACUCUACUAAUAGGAUACUCUACUAUUAGGAUAUCACUCUAUUACCCAGAUACUCUACUACUGGGAUAUCACUCUACUGCUAGAAUACUCUUCUACUAGGAUAUCACUCUAUUACUAGGAUACUCUACGACUAGGAUAUCACUCUAUUACUUCUAUAUCCCUCUACUACUAGGAUAUUUCUCUACUACUAGGAUACUCUACUAGUAGGGUAUCACUCUGUUACCAGGAUACGCUACUACUAGGAUUGAAUUUGCAAAAUAACAAUGCUCUGUUUCUCAAAAUCCAGUGAAUGUAGAUAGAAUAAAACAGUUAUUCCACGAAAUCAAGUCGUACAUGAGCUUUACACGCCUCGUCGGCUAUCAGCUCAUGCACGGCUCAAUUUCAUGGGAUAACUGUUAAAUGUAGUGUAAUCCAGGAUCAAUCUAUUCCCUAGCUGAAAGGAUGGACUGAAUUCAGAGACGUUAGAGUUUGAAAGCUUUCUUUUUUGCUGUUUCUCACUUGUUUAUCAUUGCUACAAUUUUUUAAAAAAACGCCGUUGUUUCACUUUUCUUUUGGCACGUCGGCAGUUCUCAGGCCAGCUAGCCUGAGCAGACACACAUAAUGUGAGUGGUGGCAAAGCCAGCACUCUCGGACGAACAGCCGUGACGUCAGUGCCAUGGACACGC